rnacentral:rRNA from 1 species
CCAAUUUAUGGUGCCAUCUGUUUAUAUUCUGAAUGUAGAAAAUGUAGCCCAUUUCUUCCCACUCCAUACGCUACUCCUCGACCUGACGUUUUUGGGUAGGCCCAUUUUGCUUACUAUUAGCUUCACAGGGUAAGCUGACGUCGGCGGUAUAUAGGCGGGGAAAACAAGGAGUGGUGAGG